rnacentral:rRNA from 1 species
CAGCCGCCGCGGUAAUCCGAAGGGGGCUAGCGUCACUCGGAAUUACUGGGCGUAAAGGGCGCGUAGGCGGCACGAUUAGUCAGGCGUGAAAUUCCUGGGCUCAACCUGGGGACUGCGCUUGAUACGGUCGAGCUAGAGGAUGGAAGAGGGUCGUGGAAUUCCCAGUGUAGAGGUGGAAUUCGUAGAUAUGCGGAGGAACACCGAUGGCGAAGGCAGCCCCCUGGGCCAACACUGACGCUCAUGCACGAAAGCGUGGGGAGCAAACAGGAUUAGAUACCCCCGUAGUCCCUGUCUCUUAUAC